rnacentral:lncRNA from 1 species
AGGGAAUAAAUGAAAUGCCUGGGACAUCAUCGUUAAGUGGCAUCUGAUGCAUAAGCAGUGCCCUAGGAAUGGGGUUGCCUGCCUUGGUCUCUAAAGGAUGGGUUCAAAAGGCAAGAGCAGCACACAAGAAGAUAGCUUCAAGCAGGAGAUAAAGCUUGGCCCAGGGCCCAAAGGGGAUACGACCCUUCAGCAAACUGACAUGCUGAAAGCUGCCCUAUGGAGAGGCUCAUGUGGCAAGGAACAGAGGGUGGCUUCUGGCCAACACCCAGUGAGGAACUCAGGCCCUCAGUCAAACAGCCUGCAAGGAACUGAACCCUGCCAAUAACCAUAUCAUCACGUAUAAUUCUAGAGGCAGUGUCAGCCCCCGGCCAAUGACCACCAUGGACCUCCCUGUAGUUGAACAAAGUUGGGUUUGCUGACUGGUGGCAGUGAGGGAGAAUGCACACCACAGGGAGCUGUGCAGUGUCUCAGUAAGAAGGAGCCAUCCCGUGAGGCCGUUACUGCAAACAAGCUGAAAAUCCUGCUUUGUUUCUUUUGGACACAACAUGCUUUCCUUCAGCUUCAGUAGACGAUGAGGCCAGCACCACAUGGGCUAGAUGUACAUGAGAUGUGAGCAACCACACUUCCCCUCUGACGGGGACAGACAGCAUCACAGGACAUGAAGUUCUAAGAGGUUCAGUGACUUGUCUAAGAUUAAACAGCUAUGAAUGGAGAACUGGAGGCAAAUGCCUCAUCAUCUCUCACCUGGGCAACUGCAACAAUGAGCAGUUUGUGUCUGUGCCUGCAUCCAUCCUUCCAUCCUGUACUCCAGCAGCAGCCAGGGUGGUCUUUCAAAAAUGCAAAGCUGAUAAUGUUACUCCCCUGCUGUAAACCUUCCAGCGGUUUCCUAUUGCCUUCAGAAUAAAAUACGAAUCAUCUGGCCUCCAUCUAUCUCUCCAGGCUCAUCCUCUCUCAAUUUUCCAUAUCCUUCAGGCUGAGCUCUGAAACUUCUCCUGGCAGUUCAAGAGAGCGAUGGAGGGAAUGCUGGGGCACAUCUAAAUAAAGCCUCCAAGUGGGAGUUCCUGCUCAGCUAUGCAUGAGCUCUUUGUGACUUCAUCUCCCAGCCUACAACUUGUGAAAUAAGCACGACUUCACUCAGAGCACAGCCAGAAACAUACAAACUUUCCAAAAAUAUUUGAAUGUUGACAGCA